UGAAAGAAAUGUUGAAAGUCGGGCUGAAAUCACAUUCAUAUCUAGGGACAGAUGACCGCCUGUUCUAGCCAAUCAAUACGAUAAUACAAGCUGUUACUGCACCCAGAGAAGAGAUGAAGAGGAGGUGUCAGCGCAAUCUGUCCACAACACAACCCAGGCCAGGACACAGUCCAUACAUCAACAGAGUUCUUCACCAGCAGGUGUAAGCCAGGCCUCCGAAACUCUACAGUGAGUGGUCCAUCGUCUCGCCAAUCAAAAAGGCCUCCGAAACUCUACAGUGAGUGGACCAUCGUCUCGCCAAUCAAAAAGACCUCCGAAACUCUACAGUGAGUGGACCAUCGUCUCGCCAAUCAAAAAGGCCUCCGAAACUCUACAGUGAGUGGACCAUCCUCUCACAACUCAAAAAGGCCUUGGAAACUCCACGCAGCUGAAGUUGUCUUAGUUCACCAAGAGUGCACACCAAACUUCUCUGAAGAUGGAGAGAGAAAAUCAACAGCGAAGUAGAGGGAAAAAAGAAAAACGACUACUGACAACAUCGAUUUAUUUUCCUCUGCACAUGGUG